GAUAUUUGUCUCCUGGACACGAACUUCUGUCAUGAGAAAAGGAACCUCGACUGAAGAGAGGUUGCCACCCACCAUGGCCUGGGAAGCCGUACUCAAGAGCUGAAAACCAGAAGCGUUGCUUGAUACUACAGAUCACCAAGUCACCUCACUGGUUGGAUUCACAGCUGUGCUGCGAUUUGUGUUUUCAAGAACGUCCACACACGUGAGAAAGCCUGGCGAUUCUCAGUCUUUGAACAGUAUGUGCAUCAGACUGGUGCUUAGCUGAAUCCUUCUACCCUUUUGCCCUUGGUCCAUGCCGUUUCCAGAAUACUGCAUCUGAUGUUCCAGAGAGAUAGGAAAAUGGCCAGUUAGAUCUUUAUCACAGUCUGCUCUCACAUUAACUGGUUGACCUCUGUUUCUCUUUGGUGUUUGUCCCACUGGUUCUGCACAAACAUCUCCCUUUUAGAACACAGUGAACUAUAUCAACAAUUCUGUUCCAUUCUUUACUGCAUCUACUAAAAGGGACAGAGAAAUUUUUAGAAAAUAACCAGAAAUUGAGGGCUGUCUGCCUUUUGGUUUAAGGUGGUGAGUCGCAACCUUUCUAAUGCUGCAACCCUUUAAUACAGUUACUCAUGUUGUGGUGACCCCCGAUCAUAAAAUUAUUUUCACUGCUACUUCAUAACUGUAAUUUUGCUACUGUUACAAAUUGUAGUGUAAUAUCUGUGUUUUCCAGUGCUCUUUGGCAAUACUUGUGAGAAUGUCAUUUUAUGCCCAAAGGAGUCAUGACCUACAGGUUGACAAUCAUUGCUUUAAGCAGUUAUCCUUACUUUUGUCCUAAAUAAACUAAUGUUUCUACUUCUAA